rnacentral:rRNA from 1 species
CUACGGGGGGCAGCAGUGGGGAAUUUUGCGCAAUGGGGGAAACCCUGACGCAGCAACGCCGCGUGAGUGAAGACGGUUUUCGGAUUGUAAAGCUCUUUCGACUAGGGAGAAGGUGCAUAAGGUUAAUACCCUUGUGUAUUGAUGGUACUAGGAGAAGAAGCACCGGCUAGCUUCGUGCCAGCAGCCGCGGUAAUACGAAGGGUGCAAGCGUUGUUCGGAAUUACUGGGCGUAAAGAGUUCGUAGGCGGGAAAAUAAGUUGGAUGUGAAAACCCUGGGCUCAACCUGGGACGUGCAUCCAAAACUGUUUUUCUUGGGUAUGGGAGAGGGCAGUGGAAUUGCUGGUGUAGGAGUGGCAUCCGUAGAGAUCAGCAGGAACACCCGAGGCGAAGGCGACUGCCUGGCCCAUAACUGACGCUGAGGAACGAAAGCGUGGGGAGCAAACGGGAUUAGAUACCCUAGUAGUC